UACGUAGGGUGCGAGCGUUGUCCGGAAUUAUUGGGCGUAAAGAGCUCGUAGGCGGUGUGUCGCGUCGGCCGUGAAAACCUGCAGCUUAACUGUGGGCUUGCGGUCGAUACGGGCAUCACUGGAGUUCGGCAGGGGAGACUGGAAUUCCUGGUGUAGCGGUGAAAUGCGUAGAUAUCUGGAGGAACACCGGUGGCGAAGGCGGCAUCCUGGACCAAUAUUGACGCUGAGGAGCGAAAGCCAGGGGAGCAAACGGG
rnacentral:rRNA from 1 species